ACAGAGCUAAUUCCCGGAGUCACCAGCAGGAGGCGCUGCAGGGGUGAGUCCAACCCGUCUACACAGCUUCUGCACUGAGUACCUGAAAGUGAUUAGAUAUUGCUACCUGAAGUGAAUUUCUCCUGGUCCUCUUUCCUCCAGCAGUCUCACACUGUCCAUCUUCUACUUCUGGCUGUACAGAAUGUCUCUUGCUUCCAUUUCUUUAUUUUGUCACAAACUGUCAGUUCUCCUCUCUGUUUUCCAUUCUCUCCUGUUCCCUUGAAACCAAUUCAUUCUCCAGCUGUAUCCGUGGAGGUGCUGCCCAUAGCUGGCUGUCCAAGACCGCUUCUGUCUCUCUGACGCUAUACAAGGUCAAUCACUGCCCUUGAGACCUCAGAUUUUUUCUUCCAAUACAGCCAUCAAUUUGUACUUUGUGCAUAGGAAGUCUCUAUCUUCAGACAAAAAAUAGAACAUGGCAUAGCCCUUGCAGGUUACAAUAACUUUUCCAUUGCUGGGUAUGUAGAGCUAUACAUGCAGGAAAUUUUUUCCCCUACAGUUUAGCUUGCAAACUCCCUCAGAAACUUACCUGUUAGCCUCUUCUGCUUGCCUGCUUAGGAGUUUACUUGACAAUGAUUUAUAUUCUUGGAUUCAUUGGUCAGUGCUGCCCCAUCACAGAGACUCUAGAAAAAGACUGCUUUCACCUAACCUGCUCAGGUGCCCUAAUAGCCACACAGCCCUUGCUGAAAUCUAGCCAAUAGACAAACAGAUCACACACAACUCCUCAAGUCCCUUUACCUCCAAACACAGUAUCUACAAUUACUGCAUAGAAAUUCCACUGGUAGACCCUCCUCAUUGCCUGCCAAUGUACUGCAGCACUCUCUCGAUUAGAUUCUGUCUGCCUUUGUUCAAGGAAAGAGGAACAAAUACCAGACAAAUGACAACAUUAAGUUAUUAGCAUGGAUCAUCCUGGUGAUGUCCCAAGCAACCAGUUCAAACAGGGGAUGAUAACCAGGCAACAGGAUUCCAGGUGGAAAAAGUUUUCUAGAACAGUCCAGAUGCAAUUCUGAGGAUUAGGACAAAAUAGAAGGCAACAGUAUUUCCUGGUUCAAAUUAAAUGUAGAAAUCAACUUCAAUCUGACUUCAGCCAGUGUCAUGAGGAUUACAAAGUUCAGGGGAUGAUCAUCUAGGUGGUCCUUGUACCUUACAGAAUAAGGGUAUGCAGCUCCCUGAAUUUUCUGGCAGAAGAAAUUGCAACAAGAAAUAGGAUCAUCAGGAGUUUGGACAUACCUGUGUGGUGGCCCAUGGAAAAGUGAUCCAAUGCACCCAAGAAUGCUACAACAUUUGUGCAAUAUGCCAUAACUAAAGCGUCAAUCAAAACCAAAUCCAGAUAAGGUUGUAGGAAUUCCUGAACCAGAAGGAAAAUAUUUCCCUAUACAGUAAGGAAAAAGACUGCUUUCAGAAGAAUACCUUGGCAAACGUGACCUUAUCUGACAACGGCCUCUUUCUUUCACACACCUUCCUCUUGGUUGCUUUUAUGAUGACUACUACCCUAUA